GGGGGGAGACGUAUCCCUUCUUGAUCACGGCCCGCUGACGGACGAGGGCGCAGAAAGGCAAAUGGUCAUCAAAACUGCCGCCCGAUGAAAAGAUGAUGUCUUGCUUUUAGGCCGCGAUGCGUUUGAGGAUCCUGGGAAAGUUGGGACGCGCCAAGACUACAAAGUGUGGGAAAGACACACCACCACUGGAAAGUUGGACACCACUUCACAGAUGUCAACACACAUCAGAGGAUCCAACUUGGCUUUUUUUUGUUGUUUCUUUGCUGGAUUUUUCCAUGGCCUUUUUUUUAUCAAGCGACCUUGAAGGCAAGAAGAUCCAAGGUCACCUACACGUCCUCAUUUUGCACAGAAAAAGCCUUGAAGCUCAGACUACUAAAAAUGGUGAGUCAGUGGAACAUGGCGAACUCUAAAUGUUCUGGUUUGCUUUGAGGACGGCCACAGUUUGACCCUGGAACAGACCAAGUACAGGCAGACAAAAGCUCGAAGAUUCUGAAGGUGGGGGCAUAUCUGGAGUCAGGAGCAGACGAAAGCUUUAUGCACCGUGAGUUUGCCUGCAAAGCCGGAUUUGAGCCUGUGCCCCUGGACACUUCCUUGCCAGCUCAAGCCUUGGACGGACAUCCCCUGAAACCCAUCACCCACCGUACAGCACCAUUAACUACUCUUCCCCUCUCGAGCAGACGGGCCUGGACAUGCACUGGCUUAAGCAGGGGGACACGUCUGGCACUGCAGGAUUUGAUUUUUUUUGGGUUUCAUCUGACCACAUGACAUUCUCCCAAUCCUCUGCUGUAUCAUCCAUGUAUCCAUUUUGGUAUAAACUCAACUCGUCGUGUUUGGAGGAAGAAGAAUACUGAGUUGCAUCCCAAGAACACCAUACCUACUGUGAAGCAUGGGGGUGGAAACAUCAUGCUUUGGGGCUGUUUUUCUGCUAAGGGGACAGGACGAUUGAUCCGUGUUAAGGAAAGAAUGAAUGGGGCCAUGUAUCCUGAGAUUUUAAGUCAAAACCUCCUUCCAUCAGUGAGAGCUUUGAAUGGUUGACCAAAUACUUAUUUUCCACCAUAAUUUACAAAUAUAUUCUUUAAAAUUCCUACAAUGUGAAUUCCUGGAUUUUUUUUUCACAUUCUGUCUCUCACAGUUGAAGUGUACCUAUGAUGAAAAUGACAGACCUCUGUCAUCAUUUGAAGUGGGAGAACUUGCACAAUCGCUG